CCCUUAGACGUUCUGGGCCGCACGCGCGCUACACUGACGAAGGCAACGAGCUUUCCUUUACCGAAAGGUACGGGUAAUCUUUUGAAACUUCGUCGUGCUGGGGAUAGAUCCUUGCAAUUUUUGAUCUUAAACGAGGAAUGCCUAGUAAGCGCAAGUCAUCAACUUGCGUUGAUUACGUCCCUGCCCCUUGUACACACCGCCCGUCGCUACUACCGAUUGAAUGGUUUAGUGAGGCCUUCGGAUCCGCGACUCGUUUGUGGAGAAGUUGGACAAACUCAGUCAUUUAGAGGAAGUAAAAGUCGUAACA
rnacentral:rRNA from 1 species